CCACCCAAAGAAUAGAAAUACCUGACAGUUGCCCGUUUAACACCGGUGGAGUAAUUAUUAAACCCCCCUUUUUUACUAUAUUGCUAAUCCAAACCCAAACUGUCCGAUACAGAGCAGCGCCAGCGUUCAACCAGCAGAGAGCGCAAUCGGGUCACCAUAUCCAUCUCGGUGGCUCCACCCAUGCCCACAUUCCCCUCCCCUCACUCCAUCAGGAGACAGGACCAGAGGAGUCGACACUCACAUAUGCAGGAGAGACCUUCGAGGGAGGUGGAGUCUCAGCCAGCACAGAGAAAGCAUGAGCGUUCUCGUCCCACCUCCCCUACAACGUGUUGCGUGUUCAUCCCCUGGAUGCGAAAGGUAUUCUCCCGGCUCUCUGAGAGCUGACUUCUAAUGCAAAUUCAUUUCAAAUCUUACGUCCUAAUUUGUAUGGAAAGUUACUAAUGGGUAGCGUUAAGGGCAAGGCUUGAGGUUUAGCAGACAUAUCAUUUCCGUGUGUAGGAAAACUCUCCAAACGGACUAAAUCAAAUUGUUAGAAUAUUAUAUAUUAUAUUAUUUUAUAUAAUACUCUUUGACAUUACAUCAUACUGUAAAUUCUGUCUGAGAACCUUUCUUUUCUCGUACUCGUCUUAUAGCACAGCUACCCUGGUAGAUGUAGUCAUGUGCUUCAUGCUAUCAUGUCUUACCGUUGCUCAUGUCAUUAACUUCCCCAAGAUUCUUCAUCUUCAAACGCUGUUGUGGUCAACGUAUCAUCAUUAAUACUAACAUUUAUUCAUAGGCCUUGAUUUAAUAUCGUUUUUCCAUCUAUAAAAAUGUGUUAACAUGGAGGAGUGUGUCUU
ensembl:lncRNA